CGGUGGAAAUUGUUCGGUUGUGCCUCGUUUGCCAUACCCGUAUGAGUUUCCGCUGAG
rnacentral:pre_miRNA from 1 species